AUUAAAGGAGAUCAAACUCCAACCGUUAAUUUUAUUAAAAUCAACGGUCCUUGUACAUCAACCACAUAUUACCUUUAUCUUUCAUCAAAACAUUUUUUUUCUCCGUUCUUUGGUGGAUCUCCGGCGGCGACCUAGCAAACAUUCACAAGAAAAGAAAAUAGGCAAAUGGUUCCCACGACGACCUCACCGUGGGCUUGAACAAAUAGAGAAUGAGGGAGGUUCCCACGGCGACCAUCACAAUGGGUUAGUGUUUCCGACCACAACCCGAUUCUCCUCCACGGCUCAAUAUUGCACCGACUUCGAUGUUGCAUGUAUUCAUUCCUAUGCCCACGUCGGGGUUCACGAAGAGAUGAACAAGAGACGCUCCGUUUAAUUUUUCCUCGAUUGAAUGAAAAAGGCUGAAAAUUGAGCUUGCAUGAAUCUUCCCAUUAUUGAGGGAAUAGCCAACAACUUUACAGCGGAUAUGAGGCAUCAUCCAUAAGAAUAUCUUCAAGGUUAAGAAAUUAUUUAAGGAUGAAGCUAUCAAAUGGCCUGCACUUGGAUGUUAUGAAUUUUUAUUAGAAACAAAUGAUUUAGUUGUCACUUAGUUCUUAGAUGUUCGUUGAAUAGCUAGUGUUGUGUCAUUCGUUGAUCUUUUGAAUAAAAAGGGAUUUGUGA